UUUGUAGAGAAAUUUAUUAUUUUAUCAACCGUAUCAAUAACAGAUAUUCAUCAAAUACAACAUGCAUGCUGCCUUAACUUGUCAAACAGAAAAUAUAUUUGUCAAGCACUAAAAUUCAUGUUUGAACCACCUAAACAUGUCAAUACUUUUAAAGCCUUAUACACAACUUGACAUUUUAAUAAAAAGAUGGAGGACGUUGGAUAAUGGUGAAUGUGACAACAGCUCAGUGCUGAAAAGUUACUAAAAUGUACCUAUAUUCUUACGGUCACAAUAUCAGAUGCAAAAGAUUACUAGCAGUCAGCCAGACUGUCACAGCGACAAAUUCAACCUUUGUUUGUUGAUACGAUGAUCAAACAUCAGACACCUUCAUAAAAUGUUAAUUCCUUCCUCCCCUUGAAAAAAAAUCCAAAUAAGAGGCAGGGAGGAACCUUGACUAGAUUUUAGACUUAAUACAAAUAGUAUCCCAACCUCCAAUCUAUCAUUUUGAAUAGUAGACAUAAUGAACCCUUAAAAUUUCACAUCUGUUCUUUUUUGUACUUAUGGUUUUUCAUUCAACAAAAAAUAUAGAUUUGUAAACAGAAUCCAAAGGUAUUCUCAGUGAGAAGAUCAAAGUUAAAUCUGUAUGAUUGGUUGAUUAACAGGUGAAAAGAUCAUACUGCUCACCAGGAAACAGAUUUAAUAUGUUAUACAUCUUUAAAGCACUUUUGCUAUUAAAAUCGUCAAACUCUAUUGAAAAAGAGAAAACUGUUGAUCUCCUGAAAACUAGUUUUUAAGGUGGUACAUAACACUACAGGGAGAUAACUCUGUAAAAUCAGCUGAAUGUUUUAAACACAAUCUAUUUAAAAGCUCCUCAAUGAUUAAAAUAAGUUUUUUCCAAAUUGCUUUGUAUCCAAUAAAAUUUUUCAGACAAAGUGUGUGGUUCAUUUUUUGAAAUUUAAAAAUUUUUUGUAAUAUGAUCGGAAUAAAUAUUUCGUCAAAUUUUUAUGAAAAUUAAAGAGCCAAAUUAAUUUUAGUCAAGGUGUUAGGUACCACCUUAAGGGCAUACGAUACAGUUACAGGGGAGGUAAUGACGUUGCUAACGUAAAAUGUUCGCAACGUCAAACUGUGACAUAUCGGUAAAAGAUGCAUUUUCGACUGAUUUUUAUCAUUCAAAGUUUCAAACGGAUUUAAUUGGAAAACCAGAGCAUGGACCCCUACUUUUUAAAACAACAUUUUGUUUUAUUUUGCAGGGAGAUUAUGUUGACCAAAUUUUAUAAAACUGUAAAUAGUGCAAUUUUUUUUUAAUUUUGAUCAAUAUACAGCAAAAAUGACGUUUUUUUUUUUUCUCAAUUCAUCACCAUUUGAUAAAUAUAAGUUAUUUCUGAAAAAAAAAUGCAUAAAUUUUUAUGAUACUUAUAAAAUACAGAAAUUACAAAUUAUUUAACAAAAACAAUUUGUGUUUAUCUUUUAAAACAAAAAAAUUAUGCCUUUCUUUCGAAAGGCGAAAUACGGCCACAAAUCCGAAUUUUGUGCAAAUGUACAAAAUUUCGACCUCAUUUCACUCAAAAAGUAGCACAUGCAGGUAUAUUUUUUAUUACAUAUUUGAUUUAAUCAGGUAAAAAAUAGCCAAUAUGGAAAUUUUCAUUAAACUUUAAAUACGGGAUCAAAACUGUAUCGUAUGCCCUUAAUGGCCUUGUGUAGAUUUCUUUUGAAUUUCAUGUCAGAUUUAUCUCUUUAUAUUACUUUUGUCAUGGAAGCCAUGUCAACUUAUUAGUUAAGAAUUUUUAAAGAAGGCAGCCUCCUUUAGUGAAAAUUAUGGGCAAAGUUUUCCCAAUUUGGCUCAUUGCAUUCAUUGGAAAUCAUUUUGAUAAAGAGAUUGACAAAUGAUUACCAAUUGAUGGCAAAACCUCACAUCACACCUAGGGCUAGGUGUUAAAACUAGAGGCUCUAAAGAGCCUGUGUCGCUCACCUUGGUCUAUGUGAAUAUUAAACAAAGGAAGCAGAUUGAAAAUUGACUACAAAGGUCAAUAACUCCUACAGGGGUCAAUUGACCAUUUCGUUCAUGUUGACUUAUUUGUAGAUCUUACUUUGCUGAACAUUAUUGCUGUUUACAGUUUACCUAUAUCUAUAAUAAUAUUCAAUAUAAUAACCAAAAAGAGCAAAAUUUCCUUAAAAUUACCAAUUCAGGGGCCGCAACCCAAAAACAGGUUGUCCAAUUCAUCUGAAAAUUUCAGGGCAGAUAGAUCUUACCUGAUUAACAAUUUUACUUCAUGUCAGAUUUUCUCUAAAUUAUUUGGUUUUUGAGUUAUAAGCCAAAAACUGCAUUUUACCCCUAUGUUCUAUUUUUAGCCGUGGCGGCCAUCUUGGUUUGAUGGCCAGGUCACCGGACACAUUUUUUAAACAAGAAACCCCAAAGAUGAUUGUGGCCAAGUUUGGAUCAAUUUGGCACAGCAUUUCAGAGAAGAAGAUUUUAGUAAAAGAUAUAUAAAAUUUACGAAAAAUGGUUAAAAAUUGACUUUAAAAGGGCAAUAACUCCUAAAGAGGUCAACUGACCAUUUUGGUCAUGUUGACUUAUUUGUAAAUCUGACCUUGCUGAACAUUAUUGCUGUUUACAGUUUACCUAUAUCUAUAAUAAUAUUCAAUAUAAUAACCAAAAACAGCAAAAUUUCCUUAAAAUUACUAAUUCAGGGGCCGCAACCCAAAAACAGGUUGUCCAAUUCAUCUGAAAAUUUCAGGGCAGAUAGAUCUUCACCUGAUUAACAAUUUUACCCAAUGUCAGAUUUGCUCUAAAUGCUUUGGUUUUUGAGUUAUAAGCCAAAAAACUGCAUUUUACCCCUAUGUUCUAUUUAUAGCCAUGGCGGUCAUCUUGGUUAGUUGGCGGGGUCACCGGACACAAUUUUUAAACUAUAUACCCCAAUGAUGAUUGUGGCCAAGUUUCAAAUAAUUUGGCCCAGCAGUUUCAGAGGAGAAGAUUUUUCUAAAAGAUUACUAAGAUUUACGAAAAAUGGUUAAAAAUUGACUAUAAAGGGCAAUAACUCCUAAAGUGGUCAACUGAUCAUUUUGGUCAUGUUGACUUAUUUGUAGAUCUUACUUUGCUGAACAUUAUUGCUUUUUACAGUUUAUCUCUAUCUGAAAUAAUAUUCAAGAUAAUAACCAAAAACAACAAAAUUUCCUUAAAAUUACCAAUUCAGGGGCAGCAACCUAACAACGGAAUGUCAGAUUCAUCUGAAAAUUUCAGGGCAGAUAGAUCUUAACCUGAUUAACAAUAUUACACCAUGUCAGAUUUGCCCUAAAUGCUUUGGUUUUUGAGUUAUAAGCCAAAAACUGCAUUUUACCCCUAUGUUCUAUUUAUAGCCAUGGCGGCCAUCUUGGUUAGUUGGCGGGGUCACCGGACACAAUUUUUAAACUAGAUACCCCAAUGAUGAUUGUGGCCAAGUUUGGUUAAAUUUGGCUUAGUAGUUUCAGAGGAGAAGAUUUUUGUAAAAGUUAACGCCGGACGCAGGACGACGACGACGGACGACGACGACGGACGCCGGACGCCAAGUGAUGAGAAAAGCUCACUUGGCCCUUUGGGCCAGGUGAGCUAAAAAAUGAUACUUUGUAUCAUAUCUCAUAAACAGGAUAAAUUUAAUACAAGUGCUUAAAUAAGUCCCUUUAACAACAAUUGAGCAGCAUAGGAUAGAAAUCAACAUUAUGCACAUGAAUAUUCAUACAUCUGUUUAAUUAUUUUGUGGAUUGAAAAAAAUCUGUACGGAAAUUUUGAAAUUGUUUGAAAAUUGAGUUGACAUAAAAACCCUACAAAAUAUAACAACAUUCACCUUUUAUUUCGUAUUUUAAUGUUCCAAAGCAAAUCAAAGUAUCACAUAUGUAUAUGUAUACAUAGGGCACUUGCAUAAGGUUGACUUCUAUCUGAUGUUGCUCAUUAUAUAAACAAAUUGAAUGAUUAAUUCUCAUUCCUCAAUAUAUUAGAAUUGCUUUCCUUGCAGAGAGAAUAAAAAAUAUCCUAAAACACAUUAUAUGUACUAGCAAAAACUGACAAGUUCAAGAAAACACUUUAAAAUACAUAAUAACAGUUAUGAAGAUAACCUGUUUGCACUAAAAUAUCAUUGUCUUAAACUGACAAUUAUAAUAUUUUGCUUGUAACAUUUACUGUAAAGCUCAAACCAGCAUAAACACAAAAGGGAUCUUCAUUAGUCUAUAUGUGGGAAACCAAUAAUAUUGUCAUGUAAAUUAUAAUAAACUAGAACCAGAUGCUCCGCAGGGCGUAGCUUUAUACGACCGCAGAGGUUGAACCCUGAACGGUUGGGGCAAGUAUGGACACAACAUUCAAGCUGGAUUCAGCUCUAAAUUUGGAUUGUGAUUAAAUAGUUGACACAGCAUAGGUUUCUGACACAGAAUGAAUGUGUUCUAAUGAACUUAAAAUUUUUGUUUUCUCUUAGAGCAAUUUACUAUGCUGUUGAAUAUUAAUCCUCUCAAAAAAAUGUUUGAAGAAAUUUUCUUUUUUAUUUAUGAAAUUUCAAAUGAGAAAAAUUUAUCCCAAUUUUUUUAAUCACAUCCCCC
rnacentral:lncRNA from 1 species